UGAGCACAGAGGCAAAGAGUCUCGUAGUGAAGUGCCUCUGCCUCUCAUGGGGUUAGAGGUUAAGGUUACGGAGAUGAACACAGAAGCAAAGAGUCGCGGUGAAGUGCCUCUGCCUCUCAUGGGGUUAGAGGUCAAGGUUACGGAGAUGAACACAGAAGCAAAGAGUCUCGCGGUGAAGUGCCUCUGCCUCUCAUGGGGUUAGAGGUUAAGGUUACGGAGAUGAACACAGAAGCAAAGAGUCUCGCGGUGAAGUGCCUCUGCCUCUCAUGGGGUUAGAGGUUAAGGUUACGGAGAUGAACACAGAAGCAAAGAGUCUCGCGGUGAAGUGCCUCUGCCUCUCAUGGGGUUAGAGGUUAAGGUUACGGAGAUGAACACAGAAGCAAAGAGUCUCGCGGUGAAGUGCCUCUGCCUCUCAUGGGGUUAGAGGUUAAGGUUACGGAGAUGAACACAGGAGCAAAGAGUCUCGUAGUGAAGUGCCUCUGCCUCUCAUGGGGUUAGAGGUCAAGGUUACGGAGAUGAACACAGAAGCAAAGAGUCUCGUAGUGAAGUGCCUCUGCCUCUCAUGGGGUUAGAGGUCAAGGUUACGGAGAUGAACACAGAAGCAAAGAGUCUCGUAGUGAAGUGCCUCUGCCUCUCAUGGGGUUAGAGGUCAAGGUUACGGAGAUGAACACAGGAGCAAAGUGUCGCGGUGAAGUGCCUCUGCCUCUCAUGGGGUUAGAGUGCAAUGUGUCGGAGAUGAGCACAGAAGCAAAGAGCCUCGUGGUGAAGUCCCUCUUUUUAUUUAUUUAUUUAUUUAUUUAUUGUACAGCAAAGGAGACAGCACAAGGGCACAAAAAAAUGAAACAAUAAUAAAAAAUACGCUACUCGCUGCUCCUGUAAAUAAUCCGAAGAGGUGGCCGAAAGGGGGGUUAGUGUUGAAGGCUACGGAGGUGAGCACAGAAGCAAUGAGCCACGCGGUGAAGCUCCUCUCCCUGCCCGCGACCUAAAGAAAUGGAUGUCUUCCCUCCGAUUUCGCCGUCUUGCAAAUUUUAUCAACCGUGACCUUUUGCUUUCUUCGGAUCGACCCAAGAGUGUGCAUUUUAACCUUCUCUUUGCCGUUCUGGGCCGGCAUUCAGCUGACCUUCAAAGGCUGUCCGCGUCAAGUAAAAAGUUGGUUAGAAAAAGAAAUUGCUUGAGGAGAAAGAUUUAUGACUCGAGACUUGAAGAUCACACAGUACUGGGAGGAGGGAUUGCCUAACGGGGAGACACUGUACUUGGAGGAGGGAUUGCCUAACGGGGAGACACAGUACUGGGAGGAGGGAUUGCCUAACGGGGAGAAACGGUACUGGGAGGAGGGUUGUCUAACGGGGAGAAACGGUACUGGGAGGAGGGUUGCCUAACGGGGAGAAACGGUACUGGGAGGAGAAAAUAACGGAAACAAAUAUUUGGGCAGGAGAAAUUAGCGAAUGAGGAAACAAAGAUACAGGAGGAGAAAUUAAGAAAGAGAAGACAAAUUAGAACUGGGGGGAGAAAUUAACGAAAGGGGAGACAAAUUAGAACUGGGAGGAGAAAUUAACGAGCAACUACAGAGACAAAUCAACGAACGAUUACCGGGAGCAAUGAUUAACGAACGAUUAUCUUGAGAAAAUAACGAACGAGGAGACUCAUUAGCGGGCAUAAAAGUUAAUGAAAGAACCGCUUAACGAUGAGCCUUCGAAUCAGAGUGAAUGAAGGGAGAUGAAAUAAUGAGAAGCCUGAUAAAUAUAAAUGGAUAAAAACUCUGUAAUAAAAAAGCAGAGAAAAGGGAAAAAAAUAGAAGAAAAGGCAAUGGUGAAAAGGAAAACAGUGCCAGGAAAAGAACCCAGAGAAACCAAGCAAACUGGAUGAUUAAAAAAAAGGAAGGAAAAACUCGCGGAAGACGAACACAGAAGACAAUGAAAACCGGAGAAAAAAUAAAAUACAACUAAAUAAAUGAAACUGAGAUUAACAGAUACAGAAAUUAAACUUGGAGAAUACGCGAGAAAAAUAUUAAAAAAAACAAAGAUGUAAUAAAAUAAAACAAAUUCGAAAGUGAUAAAUAACAGAAACUCAUCAGAGGAAGACAUUGAAAGGCGAAGAGAAACCAAUAAGAAAAGUGAUU